rnacentral:misc_RNA from 1 species
GAAUUAUCAUUGUUGUGACCUUUAAACUGGAGCAUCCAUGGAGUUGUAACCAAGAAUUUUUAGCUACAAUGAAGUGUCACUUUUCUUGAAAAAAGAUGGGACCAAGGCAGCCCAGUCAUAAAUGAAGCACAAGUAAUUUUAUGAUCCACAGACUCUCUCCUGUGGGAACUCAGAGAAUCCAAAGCAAUUUUCAGAAACUCAUCAAAUGUCAUUAAAC